GGUUCUAUGGUGUAAUGGUUAGCAUAUAGGUCUCUGAAUCCUGUGAUCUGAGUUCAAUUCUCAGUAGGACCA
rfam:Enterospora canceri strain GB1 scaffold_34, whole genome shotgun sequence.